GCCCUCGGUGGCUCAGAUGGAGAGAGCGUCUGCCAUGUAAGCAGGGGAUCCCGGGUUCGAGUCCCGGUCGGGGCA